AGUUUUGCUUAGACCAAUAGAUAAAGUCAAUCAUAGCAUUGGAUCAUCUAAAAAUUAUAUUUAUAUGGAUGGUCAAAUGUGAGGUAUGCUCAAGAUUUAUCUUAUUAAAUUUCUUGGAUGUUUAUUGGCCUACUUCAGCUCUACUAGCGCUUAUUCUGACUUCAGAUUGAACAUGAGAGAGACUGCAAAUUUGUCUGAUGCAAAAAAAUCAUUGAUAAGUCAAACCUUCAGAUAAAGUCAGUUGUGGCAUUGGAUCAUCUAAAAAUUAUAUUUAUGUUGAAGCUGAGAAGGAGGCUCAUGUCAAAGAGAGAGGGACCGUCUAAAAGUAUUGUGCAAGAUAUAGAGCAUGCACUCAUCAUAUCUAAGUGAUCGGAGUGAUAUUGAUUGGCUUAUUAGAUGGAUAUUGGCCCAGUUUAUCUUUCAUUUUUUCUAUAGCUGUUAGAAAUUUACUUUGCUCAUAGUUCAUACUAUAAUUAAUAUGAGACUCUUGUUUUGUGGUCCAAGUGUUCAGCGCUCAGGGUGCCUUGGAAGUACGCUAGCUUGUUGUCAUGAAGAAGUCAUUCAAGUUCCUUCCACUAAAGUUGGUGCAUAAGGCUGCAACACCAUCUAGUGGAGGUAGAUAAG